UACAGAGGGUGCGAGCGUUAAUCGGAAUUACUGGGCGUAAAGAGCGCGUAGGCGGCGCUGUACGACCCGUGUGAAAGCCCCCGGCUCAAAUGGGGAGGGUCACGGGUAACGGCAGUGUUCUGAGUGCAGGAGAGGGAAGUGGAACUCCGGGAGUAGCGGUGAAAUGCGUAGAGACCCGGAGGAACACCGGUGGCGAAGGCGGCUUCCUGGUCUGCAACUGACGCUGUGGCGCGAAAGCUAGGGGAGCAAACGGG
rnacentral:rRNA from 1 species